GCUAGGAUGAACGCUGGCGGCGUGCUUAACACAUGCAAGUCGAACGGAGUUACAUGAAACCUAGUGAUUGUAAACUUAGUGGCGGACGGGCGAGUAACGCGUGGGUAACCUGCCUUAUACCGGGGGACAACAGUUAGAAAUGACUGCUAAUACCGCAUAAGCGCACGGUGUCGCAUGACACAGUGUGAAAAACUCCGGUGGUAUAAGAUGGACCCGCGUCUGAUUAGCCAGUUGGUGAGGUAACGGCCCACCAAAGCAACGAUCAGUAGCCGGCCUGAGAGGGUGAACGGCCACAUUGGGACUGAGACACGGCCCAAACUCCUACGGGAGGCAGCAGUGGGGAAUAUUGGACAAUGGGGGAAACCCUGAUCCAGCCGACGCCGCGUGAGUGAAGAAGUAUUUCGGUAUGUGAAGCUCUAUCAGCAAGGAAGAUAAUGACGGUACUUGACUAAGAAGCCCCGGCUAACUACGUGCCAGCCGCCGC
rnacentral:rRNA from 1 species